GUCUUUUUGAAUAAAAUAUAAAGUCUAAUCUGCCAAUUGAUUUAUUAAAAGGCCGCAGUAUUUUGACUGUGCAAAGGUAGCAUAAUCAAUAGUUUUUUAAUUGAAGACUGGAAUGAAUGAUUGGAUAAAAAAUUGACUUUCUUUGUUUAAGUAUUUGAAAUUAAAAUAUAAGUGAAAAUGCUUAUAUAUAUAUAUAAGACGAUAAGACCCUAAAAUCUUUAUUUCUAAUAGAAUUUUAAUUUAAGUUGUUUUAUUUAAAAUUUUAUAUGGAAUUUAAUUGGGGUGAUUUUGUAAUUUUUAAAACUUAAUUAUGUAUUAACCAUGAAUUUUUGAAUUUUUUGAUCCAUUAAUAAUGAUAAUUAGUUUAAGUUACUUUAGGGAUAACAGCGUUAAUUCUAUUUGGGAGUUCUUAUCUAUGAUAGAGUUUGCGACCUCGAUGUUGAAUUAAAAUAUUUAGUAAAUGCAGAAGGUUAUAUAAUUAGUCUGUUCGACUAUUAAAAUUUUACGUGAUCUGAGUUCA
rnacentral:rRNA from 1 species